rnacentral:rRNA from 1 species
CUCGUAGGCGGUUCGUCGCGUCCGGUGUGAAAGUCCAUCGCCUAACGGUGGAUCUGCGCCGGGUACGGGCGGGCUGGAGUGCGGUAGGGGAGACUGGAAUUCCCGGUGUAACGGUGGAAUGUGUAGAUAUCGGGAAGAACACCAAUGGCGAAGGCAGGUCUCUGAGCCGUUACUGACGCUGAGGAGCGAAAGCGUGGGGAGCGAACA